AGCCGUCCCUGACCCUAACCCCCAAAUCCCCAAUCCCUAACCUGCGCUCUCUAGUCUCUACUCUCUACUCUCUACUACUCAGUCGCUCUCGCUCUCUCUUCUCCAAAUCCCCAAUCCCUAACCUGCGCACCCAAAUCUCCCCAAUCUCUUCGCGGAGACGCCACCCACUGACCCAGAAGGCAGCACAGCACUGACCCAGAAGAGAGAGCACAGCACGAC
rnacentral:lncRNA from 1 species